GACGAACGCUGGCGGCGCGCCUAACACAUGCAAGUCGAACGAGAGAGAGGAAGCUUGCUUCCUCAAUCGAGUGGCGAACGGGUGAGUAACGCGUGAGGAACCUGCCUCAAAGAGGGGGACAACAGUUGGAAACGACUGCUAAUACCGCAUGAUACAUUUGGGUGGCAUCAUCUGAAUGUCAAAGAUUUAUCGCUGAAAGAUGGCCUCGCGUCUGAUUAGCUGGUUGGUGAGGUAACGGCCCACCAAGGCGACGAUCAGUAGCCGGACUGAGAGGUUGACCGGCCACAUUGGGACUGAGAUACGGCCCAGACUCCUACGGGAGGCAGCAGUGGGGAAUAUUGGGCAAUGGGCGCAAGCCUGACCCAGCAACGCCGCGUGAAGGAAGAAGGCUUUCGGGUUGUAAACGUUCUUUUAAGAGGGAAGAGCAGAAGACUGUACCUCUAGAUAAGCCACGGCUAACUACGUGCCAGCAGCC
rnacentral:rRNA from 1 species